CCGAAAGGUAGGAGUGCCCGCAAGGGAGCGCGGAGACAGGUGGUGCAUGGCUGUCGUCAGCUCGUGUCGUGAGGUGUUGGGUUAAGCCCCGCAACGAGCGCAACCCUCACCCCUUGUUGCCAUCAGGUCAUGCUGGGCACUCUAGGGGAACUGCCAGCGCUAAGCUGGAGGAAGGUGGGGAUGACGUCAAGUCAUCAUGCCCCUUACGCCCUGGGCUACACACGUGCUACAAUGGCCGGUACAAAGGGAUGCGAGACCGCGAGGUGGAGCUAAACCCAAAAAGCCGGUCUAAGUUCAGAUUGGAGUCUGUAACUCGACUCCAUGAAGGAGGAAUCGCUAGUAAUCGCUCAUCAGCACGGCGCGGUGAAUACGUUCCCGGGCCUUGUACACACCGCCCGUCACACCACGAAAGCCAG
rnacentral:rRNA from 1 species